UGCUCCGCCGCCGCCUCUCCGCCCCGCCGCCGCCUCUCGGCCGCCGCCGCCGCCGGGCAGAUAUGGGAAUUGUCUCAUAUGACUAUGAAGGCCAAGAAUCCCACUACCUGCCUUUGCAAGCUAGAGAACCGGAGAAGUGCAACAUGUAAUUCAGACAGCCAUAAUGACAGAAGAGGAGCGACAGCAUGAAUAUACAACUUCAUGAAUCAGAAUCAACAGUGGCUUGCAUCAAUAUCAGUGAAAGUUAUUAUCCCUUGUAGCCCAUGGCCAUGACAUACACAAGAAGAGGAGGCGCUGGGGUCCCACAUCCUUUCUAGAGCACGCCAUCAAUGUGCAGAAGACCCCCCUACACCGACCUGGUCUCAUCACUGUAGGGUUCCAGCUCUUCCCAAUAGUGCCAAGCUAGAGAUCAACCCUGAUAUGUAUGCCUUUGAGGGACAUUUAUUACUCCUGCUUUUUUUUCUAGUUAAUUCUUUUAUAAAACACAGAUUUGUAAAGGGUGGCAAGAACAAAGGGAAAGAGACUUCUCUCUAUGGUCAGCAAAAUUGGUGAUGUAGGAUUCGAUCAUUCAGAAGUCUUUAACUCUACCGUGGUCAUUACAACUACUGUGGUCUCAAUUCUUCUCUAUCUUGCAUUACAAAUAAAAUAAACAUCUCUAAGUUCUUCUAUGUCAUUCCUUGAUAAGGUUUUAUUGAUUACUACUUUUCCC
ensembl:lncRNA